AUUGAACGCUGGCGGCAGGCUUAACACAUGCAAGUCGAACGAGUGGCGGACGGGUGAGUAAUGCCUGGGAAUCUGGCUGAUGGAGGGGGAUAACUACGGGAAACUGUAGCUAAUACCGCAUACCAUCGGAUGAGCCCAGAGGGGAUUAGCUAGUAGGUGGGGUAAAGGCUCACCAAGGCGACGAUCCCUAGCUGGUCUGAGAGGAUGACCAGCCACACUGGGACUGAGACACGGUCCAGACUCCUACGGGAGGCAGCAGUGGGGAAUAUUGCGCAAUGGGGGCAAGCCUGACGCAGCCAUGCCGCGUGUAUGAAGAAGGCCUUCGGGUUGUAAAGUACUUUCAGCGGGGAGGCGUUACCCGCAGAAGAAGCACCGGCUAACUCCGUGCCAGCAGCCGCGGUAAUUC
rnacentral:rRNA from 1 species